UACGAAGGGUGCAAGCGUUACUCGGAACUACUGGGCGUAAAGCGUGCGUAGGUGGUUUGUUAAGUCUGAUGUGAAAGCCCUGGGCUCAACCUGGGAAUUGCAUUGGAUACUGGCAGGCUAGAGUGCGGUAGAGGAUGGCGGAAUUCCCGGUGUAGCAGUGAAAUGCGUAGAGAUCGGGAGGAACAUCUGUGGCGAAGGCGGCCAUCUGGACCAGCACUGACACUGAGGCACGAAAGCGUGGGGAGCAAACAGG
rnacentral:rRNA from 1 species